rnacentral:rRNA from 1 species
AGCGAACGCUGGCGGCAGGCCUAACACAUGCAAGUCGAACGAUCCUUCGGGAUAGUGGCGGACGGGUGAGUAACACGUGGGAACGUGCCCUUUGGUACGGAACAACUCAGGGAAACUUGAGCUAAUACCGUAUGAGCCCCUCGGGGGAAAGAUUUAUCGCCAUUGGAGCGGCCCGCGUCUGAUUAGCUAGUUGGUGAGGUAAAGGCUCACCAAGGCCACGAUCAGUAGCUGGUCUGAGAGGAUGACCAGCCACAUUGGGACUGAGACACGGCCCAAACUCCUACGGGAGGCAGCAGUGGGGAAUCUUGCGCAAUGGGCGAAAGCCUGACGCAGCCAUGCCGCGUGGAUGAUGAAGGUCUUAGGAUUGUAAAAUCCUUUCACCGGUGAAGAUAAUGACUGUAGCCGGAGAAGAAGCCCCGGCUAACUUCGUGCCAGCAGCCGCCGUAAGAC